CACAUCCAUCUUCCAUCCAUCCAAUCCCUAGUGUGUCUUGCCUUACCGUUCCGUCCAUUCCAUUAAUGAUCGUGGCGCCUUCCAGCCGGGAUUACCGCGUCGCACACAGUGGAUUUCCCACUGCGCCCGGUUAUAUCAGCUGUUUUGGUAAACCCCUCCCGCAUCUGAACUGGCUGACACAGAGGGCACAGAAUGAUCAUAGGUGAGAGGUCACUUGGUCGGGUCAAAAGGAAGUAUUAUUAAAGAGAUGCAUUACAUUGAAAUACAGAUAGAGAUUUAGUAGUCCCAGAGUUAAUGAUCCAAGGUCAGUUUUGCAUUUCACCUCCUGAUGAUUAUGAUGCUCUCUCCCUAUCCAUCUGUCUCUUGUCUGCUGGUAUGUUUUGAUGUGAGAGAGGAAGCCAGUCCCGUCAUCGCCACCUCACCCACUCUUAAGAUAACCUUCGGGCCAACUGGGGGCCCAAAGCUGGUUAGGAGACACCCUAGAGACACUGUAAUUGUGAUGAACUGAGAGAAUAUUAGGGUAGCAAUGUAAUUCAUUAAUCACAUGCUGUCUGCCUCACUUCUUACCUCUUGCCCUUUCUGUCUUCUACACCUCUCUCCCCACCUCGUCUUUCUCCCUCGUUUUACAAUGCACAACAUAUGUGCAGUGAAGUACAGAUUGAACUUGUAUUUAUAAUAUAAUAUUACAAUUAUCAGAAUUAUAAUGCAUGUAUUAUGUAUUUAUAACACCUGAGUAAUGAACUUCUUUAAAUAAAGCG
rnacentral:lncRNA from 1 species